rnacentral:rRNA from 1 species
CACGUAGGGCGCGAGCGUUGUCCGGAAUUACUGGGCGUAAAGAGCUCGUAGGCGGCCUGUUGCGUCCGCUGUGAAAGCCCGGGGCUUAACCCCGGGUCGGCAGUGGAUACGGGCAGGCUAGAGGUAGGUAGGGGAGAAUGGAAUUCCCGGUGUAGCGGUGAAAUGCGCAGAUAUCGGGAAGAACACCCGUGGCGAAGGCGGCUCUCUGGGACGGUACUGACGCUGAGACGCGAAAGCGUGGGGAGCGAACAGG